rnacentral:rRNA from 1 species
GUUUUGCAGCGCUCGUGAUGAGACCUCA